rnacentral:rRNA from 1 species
GACGAACGCUGGCGGCGUGCCUAAUACAUGCAAGUCGAACGCAGUGGGGACGGGUGAGUAACACGUGGGUAACCUCCCAUCAGAGGGGAUAACACUUGGAAACAGGUGCUAAACCGAUACUGAUGGAUGGACCCGCGGUGCAUUAGCUAGUUGGGGAGGUAACGGCUCACCAAGGCCACGAUGCAUAGCCGGCCUGGGAGGGAGAUCCGCCAAAAUGGGACUGGGACACGGCCCAGACUCCUACGGGGGGCAGCAGGAGGGAAUCUUCGGAAAUGGACGGAAGUCUGACCGAGGAACGGCGCGUGAGGGAAGAAGGUUUUCGGAUCGUAAAACUCUGUUGUUAGAGAAGCGGUAUCUAACCAGAAAGCCACGGCUAACUACGGGCCAGCAGCCGCGGUAAUAC